rnacentral:rRNA from 1 species
UGCUAAUUGUACACGGUGUAGUUUUGGGCUGCUUGCAGCAGGGACUCAACAGGCUCAGUCUUAAGGUAAACCCGUUGAAUGCUUACGAGCUGAACCAAAACAUUGUAGUAAGCUUAGGAAAGGACAUCAACCGACACGCGACUAGUAGCGGCGAGCCAACGUCGCAUAGCCCUGCAAGCGUUUUAAGUCAGCAAAAUGCUUAUGACUAGCAGUCAUAGCUGGUGCCAACCCAGUAAGCUGACCGGCGUUUGCAACUAGCUACUACUGGCUUUGGGCUUUUGCAAAAGUAGUCAAAAUUGCAGCACAUUACACCGUGCUGCAAUUUUGGUACUUUUGGCUACUUUAGUGUAGUUUCGUCCCAACACACGUACGUGUGUUGGGACGAAAAGCAAAGGCUUGCGCCAUUAGGCAGCAAAGUAAAACGGUUCACACUGUUUGAACAUAGGUGUACCCUCACCUAAGGCUAAGUACCGCGUGGUUAGCAAUAGCGUACAGUACUGUAAAGGAACGGUGAAAAGCAAGUCGUUGACUGCUGCAACAAAACCUGAACUAACAGCCUCAUAAGCAGGCAGCGUGUCACAACACAAUGCCGUACCUUUUGCAUAAUGGGUCAGUAAUUUUGUGUUACUAGCAAGGCGUAAGCCUAAGCAAACGCGACUACUUACACACAUGUAGGUGCAGGGGCCCUAAUUGCACCGGCCUACAUUAGUGGGCACAGUUAGCAACACAAGACCCGAAACGUAGUGACCUAGUCAUGUGCAGGUGCAAAGACCGAACGAAUGCAUGUUGCAUAAUGCUUCGACGACAUGUGACUAGUAGUGAAAUGCUAACCUAACUGCGUCAUAGCUGGUUUUUUGCGAAAUGCAUUGCAGUGCAGCGUCAUGGGCCCUAAUUGCAGCAGGUACAACACUGGCUAGCAAGCACGACUUUGCAUGGCUUAAAGCACCGUGCAAUUAAGGCGUGUUGAUUAAGGGGGCCUAAUUGCCUUACUUAGGCUAGCUAGCUUCAUAAUGGCUGCAAUUGCCCAUGGCAGUGAGUGGUGUGGCAAUAAGGUCGCACCACAAGUAGGCAACAGCCUUGACGUGGCGUUAAAGUCCCUAAUUUUAGCAUGAGUGAAUUUAAGAAGGUCCCUAACCUAAAACAGUCAUGAUGUGGGAUUGGCAGCGUCCACCAUUUAAAGAAAGCGUAACAGCUCAGUGACCUAGUCCCAGGACUGUACUGUAGGCUGUUAGGGGUACUAGUUCCUACAUGGGUAUGCUUUGCGCUGCACAUACAUGGCCCUAGUGUACUAACGUCUAAUUACAGGGCGUGUUACAACAUGCUUUGUGACUAUGACCCCAUGUGCUGCAAAAGCUACAUGGGUGCUUACACGCCGUCCUAGGUCAGUGGCGUCGACAAUUUAACGGGUCUAAUGCUAAAACUAAAACCCACGUGCUUGCCAUUACACCGUGUACAGUUAGCCCAGUCAGCCUUGCCUUAAUCGUAAUGCAGUUUUUUUAAAAAAAAAAGUCAUGCAACGUAGCGGGGGUGUAGGCGGCUGUGUUGCUGUGCAAGGCUUUAAUUGGCAAGGCAAGUAGCAAAACGUGCUGCAGCGUUGAACCGUAGUCUUUAAUUACACGAGCUAGCAGCAGUGCAAAUGCUGACAUGAGUAGCACCAUGGGUGUUUAAACACCCACGCUGUAACAAAAUGGGUUUUAAGCAGCUGUUACACAGGCUUAAGUCAUUGCGAAGUCUAAGCAGCUAGUCAACACGACGCUGUAAUGACCAUGUAGUACGAAGGUUAAAACCCAAGAAAAACUACUGCGCUGGCCUGCCUUAAGUUUGCUUAAUGGGGGCCAGCCAAUCGUACCCAGUACCGACACAGGUUUUGUGGUGUAGUACACUAAAGCGACAGACUAAUCAACGUUCAGGAACUCGGCAAAAUGACCUCGUACGUUCGUCAAGAAGAGGUGUCUUACACCAUGUGAAGUUAGCAUGCUGCAAAAGGCCCAUGGGUGUGGCGCUAGUCCCCCAUGGGUACGCAUGCCCUAAUGGCAUGGUGUAAGACCGCAGCUAAUCGCGAAAUGCAACUGUUUACUCAAAACACAGCAGCCUGCCAACACUAAAAGUGGUAGUAUAGGUUGUGAUUCCUGUCCGUGUUGCGCCAUAANNNNNNNNNNNNNNNNNNNNAGUGUUAUGACUAGCUUACUGCAGCAGCGCCUGUAAUUACAUAAGCCUUUAGCAACUUACAUGCUUUUUUUGCAUUAAUUUGCAAUUUGCGAACGGUGUAAUGUUAUGACUUACUUGCAGCUGCAGUAGCCUGUAAUUACAUGAGCCAUUAGCAAC